AGUGUGGCUCAACGGUAGAGCAGCUGACUUGUAAUCAGCAGGUUGGGGGUUCGAUUCCCUUCACU
rnacentral:tRNA from 1 species